AUUGAACGCUGGCGGCAGGCCUAACACAUGCAAGUCGAGCGGAUGAAGGGAGCUUGCUCCUGGAUUCAGCGGCGGACGGGUGAGUAAUGCCUAGGAAUCUGCCUGGUAGUGGGGGAUAACGUCCGGAAACGGGCGCUAAUACCGCAUACGUCCUGAGGGAGAAAGUGGGGGAUCUUCGGACCUCACGCUAUCAGAUGAGCCUAGGUCGGAUUAGCUAGUUGGUGGGGUAAAGGCCUACCAAGGCGACGAUCCGUAACUGGUCUGAGAGGAUGAUCAGUCACCCUGGAACUGAGACACGGUCCCGACUCCUACGGGAAGCCGUAGUGGGGAAUAUUGGACAAUGGGCGAAAGCCUGAUCCAGCCAUGCCGCGUGUGUGAAGAAGGUCUUCGGAUUGUAAAGCACUUUAAGUUGGGAGGAAGGGCAGUAAGUUAAUACCUUGCUGUUUUGACGUUACCAACAGAAUAAGCACCGGCUAACUUCGUG
rnacentral:rRNA from 1 species